rnacentral:rRNA from 1 species
AUGACUCUAAUUGUGAGAUGUGUAAACAUGUCAAGUGCCAGUACAAAAAUAGAGGAGUUUUUUCUAGAGUUCAUGAAGGUGGUUGAUACAUCGGGACUUGGACUUUAUAAUGUGUUAAUAGAUACACUUGGUUUGAAUGUUCAAGAUGUUCGUGGACAAGGGUAUGGCAAUGGUUCGAACAUGAAGGGGAAAAACCAAGGGGUACAAAGCAGAUUGCUUGCAACUAAUCCAAGAGCAUUGUACAUGCCAUGUGCUUGUCAUAGCCUGAAUCUUACUCUUAGUGAUAUGGCAAAAUCUUAA